GGGGUGUUAGGAUGUUUUAGAGUUGAAUGUGAAUUUAUAAAUUCAUAAUUGUCAGAUAACAUUGUGAAUAUGAUAAAUACUCUCAAGUUAUAUACUUUGUAAUAUAUGUUGUAUGUCUUUUUUAAAAAACCACAAAAUUAAAGAUCCUGGACAACUGUGUAAAUCAAACAGGACUUAAGAACAAGAGGUGUGAACAAGCAAACAAAUGCACAUGGUGCUUAAGACAGCUGGGCCCUCAAGAGAAAGUAUAAGGCUCAUACUCUUAGUAAAUGUUUUAUAAUUUUUUGUUAGUGCUAACAUAAAUCCAGUCAGAAAUGGCAGCAUUUCCCCCUAGUCUUUGUUCUACUAAGACAGUUUCUAUGGGUAGCCUGUGAGUUUUCUUCUAAAUCAGAAGUUACUAAGGAUGAAUUUCAAUGUAUAAUCCUUAUUAUCGGUCAACUCUGAUGUUACCAAGAGAUUUUUCCCUGUUAGCAUGAGGCUCACACCUAGUUCUUUGUUUCCUUUCCCAACAUAGCACCUAACAAGGAUUGCUAUCACUCUCACUGAUGACAGAUAUAUGUGGAGCUAGAAUGGGUGACACAUGAUGCGAGGCUGGGGUUUGUAGCAGAAUGAGAUGCCCACAGGAGUUCACAUUCAACCUUUGGACAACAAGGAAUGCCAACUCCACUUGUGAACCUGAUUUCUGCCCACAAGCCUUUGGA
rnacentral:lncRNA from 1 species